AAGGAUUUAGGUUAAACUAAACCCACAGCCUUCAAAGCUGUAAAUAAAGGCGCAUACUUUAAGCCUUA
rnacentral:tRNA from 1 species